rnacentral:rRNA from 1 species
GACGUAGGGCGCGAGCGUUGUCCGGAUUAUUGGCGUAAAGAGCUCGUAGGCGGCUUGUCGCGUCGUCCGUGAAACCCGGGCUCAACCCGGCUUGCGGUCGAUACGGCAGGCUCGAGUUCGGUAGGAGACUGGAAUCCUGGUGUAGCGGUGAAUGCGCAGAUAUCAGAGAACACAGUGCGAGCGACUACUGCUGUCUGACGCUGAGCGCUGAAGCUAGGGGGAGCAAAAA